GACGUAGGGGGCGAGCGUUGUCCGGAUUCAUUGGGCGUAAAGCGCGCGUAGGCGGCUGCGCAAGUCGGUUGUGAAAUUCCGGGGCUCAACCCCGGAACUGCGUCCGAUACUGCGUGGCUAGAGGUAGGUAGGGGAGAUCGGAAUUCCUGGUGUAGCGGUGAAAUGCGCAGAUAUCAGGAGGAACACCGGUGGCGAAGGCGGAUCUCUGGGCCGGUACUGACGCUGAGGAGCGAAAGCGUGGGGAGCGAACAGG
rnacentral:rRNA from 1 species